GACGAACGCUGGCGGCGUGCUUAACACAUGCAAGUCGAACGGAAAGGCCCUGCUUUUGUGGGGUGCUCGAGUGGCGAACGGGUGAGUAACACGUGAGUAACCUGCCCUUUACUUUGGGAUAACUUCAGGAAACUUGGGCUAAUACCGGAUAGGAGCUCCUGCUGCAUGGUGGGGGUUGGAAAGUUUCGGCGGUUGGGGAUGGACUCGCGGCUUAUCAGCUUGUUGGUGGGGUAGUGGCUUACCAAGGCUUUGACGGGUAGCCGGCCUGAGAGGGUGACCGGCCACAUUGGGACUGAGAUACGGCCCAGACUCCUACGGGAGGCAGCAGUGGGGAAUAUUGCACAAUGGGCGGAAGCCUGAUGCAGCAACGCCGCGUGCGGGAUGACGGACUUCGGGUUGUAAACCGCUUUCGCCUGUGACGAAGAGUGAGUGACGGUAAUGGGUAAAGAAGCACCGGCUAACUACGUG
rnacentral:rRNA from 1 species